AAGAAGAGCCCAUUAAGUUCUUUAAGCCAUGCGUCAUUGAGGAUAUAAAUCACAAUCAUAAGGUCGUUCAAAUUCAAAGUGUUUUUCCCGCGUCUAAAUCAAAUAACACAAGGCGUCAUGAAAUAAGUAGGAAACGGGCAGCUAGAUCAGAGUCACCGCCACCUACACCAAGCAAAAAGAGUCGUCGUCUCUCAGAUUCCGCACCCACAGAGCAUGUAAGA
rnacentral:sRNA from 1 species